rnacentral:rRNA from 1 species
GACGAACGCUGGCGGCGUGCUUAACACAUGCAAGUCGAGCGGAAAGGCCCUUCGGGGUACUCGAGCGGCGAACGGGUGAGUAACACGUGAGUAAUCUGCCCCUCACUCAGGGAUAACCGCGGGAAGCUGCGGCUAAUACUUGAUAUGACCACGUCUCGCAUGGGGUGUGGUGGAAAGCGUUUAGUGGUGGGGGAUGUGCUCGCGGCCUAUCAGCUUGUUGGUGAGGUAGUGGCUCACCAAGGCUUCGACGGGUAGCCGGCCUGAGAGGGUGACCGGCCACACUGGGACUGAGACACGGCCCAGACUCCUACGGGAGGCAGCAGUGGGGAAUAUUGGACAAUGGGCGAAAGCCUGAUCCAGCAACGCCGCGUGAGGGAUGACGGCCUUCGGGUUGUAAACCUCUUUCACCUCUGACGAAGCGCAAGUGACGGUAAGGGGAGAAGAAGGACCGGCCAACUACGUGCCAGCCGCCGCCGUAACAC